AUUGAACGCUGGCGGCAGGCCUAACACAUGCAAGUCGAACGAGUGGCGGACGGGUGAGUAAUGUCUGGGAAACUGCCCGAUGGAGGGGGAUAACUACUGGAAACGGUAGCUAAUACCGCAUACCAUCGGAUGUGCCCAGAGGGGAUUAGCUUGUAGGUGAGGUAACGGCUCACCUAGGCGACGAUCCCUAGCGGGUCUGAGAGGAUGACAAGCGAAACGGUGACUGAGAGCAGGUCCAGACCCCUACGGGAGGCAGAGGUGGGGAAUAUUGGGCAAUGGGGGCAAGCCGGAUGCAGCCAGGCCGCGUGAAUGAAGAAGGCGUUCGGGUUGUAAAGUACUUUCAGCGGGGAGGCGUGACCCGCAGAAGAAGCACCGGCUAACUCCGUGCCAGCAGCCGCGGUAAUAC
rnacentral:rRNA from 1 species